UACGUAGGGGGCAAGCGUUGUCCGGAUUUAUUGGGCGUAAAGAGCGUGUAGGCGGUUUGGUAGGUCCGCUGUGAAAACUCGAGGCUCAACCUCGAGACGCCGGUGGAAACCCCCGAACUAGAGUCCGGAAGAGGAGAAUGGAAUUCCUGGUGUAGCGGUGAAAUGCGCAGAUAUCAGGAAGAACACCCGUGGCUAAGGCGGUUCUCUAGUACGGUACUGACGCUGAGACGCGAAAGCGUGGGGAGCGAACAGG
rnacentral:rRNA from 1 species